CUUCCUGGUGGAGCUGCAGGAUGGCCUUGGCCAGGCGCUGCAACCUGCUCUUGCUCUGUUUAGCUUUGGAGGGUGAAGAUACUGGCUGGUUGGGUGGUGGGGCCCUGGCUGGACGGGAGAGAUCCUAGUCCAUGGCCUUCACCAGGUCCCAGCAACUAGGCCUGGGCAGAGGCUUGAUAAUCAGCAGGAUGGAUAAUCCGCCGGUAAAUAACGAGAAGCCAGCCCGCUGGCUGCAUAGCAGGAGGGUGUCUCAGUUGAAGCUCUUUGGUUAAAGGGAAAAGAAACCCUUCAGACGAGCAAACAGGAUUUAUGGAGGGGAUGGAACAGCGCAUCUCACAGAGACCUAAGAAGAGACGGGCUGUCUGGAAAAUGAGGGCAUCCAAGGCACAAGGAGAUUCCCAAGCAAAGGGUGGAAUUGGAGCUGCAGCUGCCGGCCUACCCCAUAGCCACAGCAACGCCAGAUCCGAGCUGUAUCAGCAAAUUACACCAGAUCCUACGGCACGGCUGGACCCUUAACCCACUGAGCAAGAAGAAACACACACAUGAUUGUAGAAAGCUUGGAAAACAGAAACCACCAAGAUGGAAGGGAAAAGCAGCUGUAAUCCAAGAUAACGGCUGUUAACAUACUGGUGGGUUCCCUCCUAUUCUUUUUUCUUUAAGUAGUAGCCUGGGGCUCUGUGAGUGAUCUCGGCUGAAGAUCCAUCUUUUGACUCUAAUUAUAUGUCUUCAGACUCUAAGACUUUAGGAUGGCUUUCAAUUUAUUCCCAUAAUUUUCCCUGAGCACAUGGGCUUAUUUUUCCCUUGCCCUUUUACCUUUUCCUGGAGGUGGCAGCUCAAACAGAAUCAACAUGGGCUGGUUCCUCUGUGUGCAAGUCCCACCACCCCGUUG